rnacentral:misc_RNA from 1 species
CGGCAAACUUAACAAUCAUGGAUUCCAUUAAGCAAUCAAGAAAGGAGUUCCUAAUUUCUAAUAGAGAGAGAUAGAGAGAGCAUAGGGGGAGAAAAAUUGGAAGCCUGAAUGAGUGAAUUGUAUCCAUCAUUGAAUCCCAUGUUUCUCCUCUCUUCAAUCCCCAUGCCUCCCUCUCCUCCAUCAAAUUCCACAUUCCCUCUCCUCCUCAAUUAUAACACAUAAUCCAACUUCUAGGGCUUUGAGAAUUUGCAUCACCAAAACAAAAGCUGAUCACAUUCAGAUUAUGCACAUAUACCCAUAUAUUUGCAUAUGUAUAUACAUAAAGAGAAUCUUAUUCGCUCUUCUUUUUAUCAGAGAAUACAAAGGCUCGAACUUUCCCUCCGAUUCUGAUACAUUGGCUUCUCUUUUGACUUGAAAACUCUCCUCCCAAGAUUUAUAAAGAGAGAAAGUCGGGUUUUCUAUUAGAGAGAGCAACUGGGUAUUGGCUAAUAUUUGUUGUCAAAAUUUGACAGAGAGAUGCACGGAGAAAAAGAGAGAGAUGUUGGCAAUGGAGAAAGAUUUUGAUUCCAAGCUAAGGAUUCAAAGCAGCAAUAACUCUUCUUCUUCCUCCUCUUCUACUUCUUCUGGUAAUAACAACAAUGGGAAUGUGCAGAGAUCUAAGAGCUUCGCAUUCAGGGCUCCUCAGGAGAAUUUCAGUAUUCAGGAUUUUGAGCUUGGCAAGAUCUAUGGUGUUGGUUCCUAUUCAAAGGUAGUGAGGUCAAAGAAGAAGGAUACUGGAGUAGUAUAUGCCUUGAAGAUCAUGGACAAAAAAUUCAUCACGAAAGAAAAUAAAACAGCUUAUGUCAAGUUGGAACGCAUUGUUCUUGAUCAAUUGGAUCAUCCAGGAAUCGUGCAGCUAUUUUUUACUUUUCAAGAUUCUUUUUCACUGUACAUGGCACUUGAAUCCUGUGAAGGUGGAGAACUUUUUGACCAAAUAACCAGAAAAGGCCGUUUAUCAGAGGAUGAAGCUCGUUUCUAUGCUGCAGAAGUAGUGGAUGCUCUUGAAUACAUGCAUAAUAUGGGAUUAAUACAUCGAGAUAUCAAGCCGGAGAACUUACUGCUUACAGGGGAUGGACAUAUUAAAAUUGCUGAUUUUGGGAGUGUGAAGCCAAUGCAGGACAGCCGCAUAACUGUUCUUCCUAAUGCAGCCUCAGACGAUAAAGCUUGCACAUUUGUGGGCACUGCUGCGUAUGUCCCUCCAGAAGUCCUCAACUCUUCUCCUGCAACAUUUGGGUAAGGGGACUUUCCUUAAAUGAGCCAAGCAUGCUAAUUAUGCUAAAAGAUGAUUAUAGCUGGAAUAAUGUUUUGGGAGCAGUAGGCUUUUGAUGUGUUUUGUGCUAGGGAUAAUUAAUAGGUGGUACUUAUUGUAGCUUCUCCAUUAGCUUUGCUCUUAAUCAUUUCUUGCUUAUGUAAUUUUGCCUUUUUGACCAAAUUCAAACAGAAAUGACCUCUGGGCACUUGGCUGCACCUUGUACCAGAUGCUUUCAGGAACUUCUCCUUUCAAAGAUGCAAGUGAAUGGCUUAUAUUUCAAAGAAUUAUAGCCCGGGAUUUAAGAUUUCCUAACUACUUUUCAGAAGAAGCUAGAAACAUUAUUGAUCGGUUAUUGGUAGGCUACGAAGUUCUCACAUUAGACUUUGUUUUGAGCAUGCAUUUUUUUUUCCUACAUUAUCUACUCUUCUAAUUAUUUUUUAUUGUUUUGUAACUUAUGUUCUUCUACAUCUAUGCAUAAAAUGAAUGCCUAUAUCCAUGUAUAUGCAUGAUACAUUCUUUAUGAUGAAAAUUGUCUGAAAAUGAGUAAAAAUGUACAAUUACUCAAUCAUAUGGUGGAUAUGAUCUAAAGGACGGGGACCUCAUGUAGACAUGAGCUGUGAUUGUGAUUAAAAAGCAUGUGAUUGCAAACUAUAUUUUUGGUUGAUGCUGUGUACAAUGUUAUUAUCUCGUUUUAUGUGUUACCAUGCAGCAUGGGUGCUAAUUUUGAAUUUAACAAGGCACUUAACUAGUUGACAAGGGCCAGGUUUUUUCAUGGUGCUCCAGUCUUGUUUUAACAAGAUAUUAAUUAAUACUACACAUGUUAUGAUCAAUGUUCCACGGAUGUUAUAAAUUAUGCAUCUCUUCUUUUGCUCUUUCUUAUUUUACUUUUUUACCCAAGUAUUUAUGACAAGUGAUUAGGCAAUUCCUUUAUGAAUUAUGAAGUUUGUAAUUACAGCCUAUGUUUGCCAUGUAAUAAUAUUGUAGGAUAUAGAUCCCAGCAGAAGACCAGGUGCUGGACCUGAUGGUUAUACCGCACUCAAAAUGCAUCCUUUUUUUAAGGGAGUUAACUGGAAGAAUAUUAGGGGGGAAACUCCUCCAAAACUUGCUUUAGAGCCCAUGGCACAGUCUGGUGAGGGUGAGCAUGAUAACGAUUCUUCAUUUAAUCCUACACACAUUGGGGAUGGAUCUGUAAAACAGAAAGACGGGAGUCUUGGAACUUCAUCUGCUGAAGCAUCUGGUUCUAUAACUAGACUUGCCUCUAUUGACUCCUUUGAUUCUAAAUGGCAACAAUUUUUGGAUCCAGGGGAAUCUGUUCUUAUGAUCUCAAUGGUGAAAAAAUUACAGAAAUUGACAAGCAAGAAAGUGCAGCUCAUUCUCACUAACAAGCCAAAAUUGAUUUAUGUGGAUCCUUCAAAGUUAGUGGUAAAAGGAAAUAUAAUAUGGUCUGACAAUUCUAAUGACCUCAGUGUGCAGGUUAUAAGUCCUUCAAAUUUCAAGAUCUGUAUGGUACGCAUUUAUUUCUUCUAUCCACUUCCCCAAAUCCUUUUCUUUUUUCCUCAAAAAUUAUUGCAAUGCCAAUCUCAAGUUCCUUGCAUCCUAAUGGAACUCUUGGCCUGAAAACAAUUUUGAAAACAGCAUGGCAUUGUGAAUGUUCGCUAGAUUGAUUGAAAACAAAACAAUAUUGUUACUGGAUUAUAUUCCAAUAUCGACUUCUCUCUUCUUUUUAUCUUUUGUCGUUCCCUCUAUGCGCUUCCAUAUUUCUGAUUCAUAGCUGUGUACCGUUUCAGCCAAAGAAGGUAAUGUCAUUUGAGGAUGCAAAACAAAGGGCAUGGCAGUGGAAAAAGGCGAUUGAGACUCUUCAAAACCGGUGAAAAAUUUGUUACAUUCUUCAAAUUGUCAAUGAAAUUGUAGAAGAAUAUGGGGAUUCUUACAAGAGUUGAUAUCCCUGUAGAUUAUUUAUUUAUUUGAAAGAGAUUGAAGAUGUGCAUUCCACUUUGAUCAGUGUCUUAAUGUACAAUGCAUCUUCUGAUUUAGGGUUUUUUGGUGGCUGAUGUUCAGAACUUGUUUACUGUAUUUAAAAUUACAACACAUCAAUGAAAA